rnacentral:snoRNA from 1 species
GUAUGGAUUUGGAUUUGUGGCAGCCCCAUCCCCUGGGCUCUCAUAGUGUCCCAUGCCGGAGCAAACCAUGGCCCAGAACCAUUGCCUGGCCUCUACCCAUAGACUGCUGGUACUGAAGCAGGUUGUGCAGUG